UACAGGGGGGUGCAAACGUUUGCUCGGAAUCAUUGGGCGUAAAGCGCACGUAGGCGGUUCGUUAUGUCGGAUGUGAAAGCCCUUGGCUUAACCGAGGAAGUGCAUCGAAACUGGCGAGCUAGAGUACGAAAGAGGAUCGCGGAAUUCCCGGUGUAGAGGUGAAAUUCGUAGAUAUCGGGAGAACACCGGUGGCGAAGGCGGCGAUCUGGGUCGAUACUGACGCUGAGGUGCGAAAGCGUGGGGACAAACAGGG
rnacentral:rRNA from 1 species